rnacentral:rRNA from 1 species
UACGGAGGGGGCUAGCGUUAUUCGGAAUUACUGGGCGUAAAGCGCACGUAGGCGGCUUUGUAAGUCAGAGGUGAAAGCCUGGAGCUCAACUCCAGAACUGCCUUUGAGGCUGCAUCGCUUGAAUCCAGGAGAGGUGAGUGGAAUUCCGAGUGUAGAGGUGAAAUUCGUAGAUAUUCGGAAGAACACCAGUGGCGAAGGCGGCUCACUGGACUGGUAUUGACGCUGAGGUGCGAAAGCGUGGGGAGCAAACAGG